rnacentral:lncRNA from 1 species
GAAAAAUCAAAACACCAUCCUACAGAACUUUGAUGCAUUCAGAACAAAGAUCACGAAUCAAGCUGAAAAAGUAAAGCAUUCUGUGAGUUGUGGAAUGGAAAUUGCCUCAACCAUCUCACCACUUGAUGACACUUGUAAUUUCAGUGACCCAAUUCAAGCAAUCAAACAUCAAGUAAUACUCUCAAUAAAGAUGUGUAAUUAAAACAGAAGAGGAAACAGACUAACAGAAGUGAUGAAGAAUGGCAGUUCUAAGGAUGGCAGGAAUUCACUGAAUGUCUAUCUAUCAUGUAUGCUGUUGGAGGCACCUGUCUUUCAGUUCAGAGGUUAUGGAUGUAUCUAUCAUCAGUAUUUCGGGAAGUCAGGGACCCGGAACAGAGGGACUUAAUGAAGCUGUGGCAGAAGAAAAAAUUAUGAAGAUUUCAUGGACAUUUAUUAGUUCCCCAAAUUAAUACUUUUAUAAUUUCUUACACCUGUCUUUACUGCACUCUCUGAACAUAAAUUGUGAAGAUUUCAUGGACAUUUAUCACUUCCCCAAUCAACACUCUUAUAAUUUCCUAU